GGCCGGUUAGCUCACUUGGUUAGAGCGUGGUGAUAAUAGCGCCAAGGUUGUGGGUUCGAUCCCCAUACUGGCCA
rnacentral:tRNA from 1 species